UAUGUGAUCGUCUCUCGCAUAUCAAUAAGCGGAGGAAAAGAAACUAACAAGGAUUCCCCUAGUAACGGCGAGUGAAGCGGGAAGAGCUCAAAUUUGAAAUCUUAAAGGGUUUCCCUUUACGAAUUGUAGUUUAAAGAAGUGUUUUCUGUUGAGGUUUUGGUAAAAGUUCUUUGGAAUAGGACAUCAUAGAGGGUGAGGAAUCCCGUAUUUGACCUUCCUUUCAACUUUGUGAUACACUUUCAAAGAGUCGGAUUGUUUGGGAAUGCAGUCCAAAAUGGGUGGUAAAUUUCAUCUAAAGCUAAAUAUUGGCGAGAGACCGAUAGCGAACAAGUACCGUGAGGGAAAGAUGAAAAGAACUUUGAAAAGAGAGUUAAACAGUACGUGAAAUUGUCAAAGGGAAGCGUUUGACACCAGUGUUGUUUUUCUGAAAAUCAAUUAAAGAACUGUUUAUGCUAAGUUGUUUAGACUUUAUCAGCUAAUCUGCUUAGUUUUGAGCUUUUCUUUAAUGCACUUUUCAGUUAACAAGUCAACAUCAAUUUCUUUUGCUGUAAAAAAGCUUGAGGAAGGUGGCUUGAGAUUCGUCUUAAGUGUUUAUAGCCUCUUGCCUAUGCAGUCGGAGAGAUUGAGGUCUGCAGCGUAGAUCCUUCGGGGCUAAAUGCAUUUGUGCUAAGUUAUAGCAUUUUAUAGACAACUUGUUGACUAUGAUUUGUCUUGUAGCUUACUCGCUUAUGUUAUUUUACCUACGCUUAGGAUGUUGAACGCGCACAGAGUCUC
rnacentral:rRNA from 1 species